ensembl:lncRNA
GGCUCUGAUCUGGCUCUGAUCUGGCAUGGAUAAGGCUCUGAUCUGGCGUGGAUAAGGCUCUGGUCUGGCGUAGAUAAGGCUCUGAUCUGGCUCUGGUCUGGCGUGGAUAAGGCUCUAGUCUGGCGUGGAUAAGGCUCUGAUCUGGCUCUGAUCUGGCGUGGAUAAGGCUCUGAUCUGGCGUGGAUAAGGCUCUGAUCUGGCGUGGAUAAGGCUCUGGUCUGGCGUGGAUAAGGCUCUGGUCUGGCGUGGAUAAGGCUCUGGUCUGGCGUGGAUAAGGCUCUGGUCUGGCGUGGAUAAGGCUCUGGUCUGGCGUGGAUAAGGCUCUGAUCUGGCUCUGGUCUGGCGUGGAUAAGGCUCUGAUCUGGAGUGGAUCCAUCAGAUGGUAAGGUGGUGGUGAAACCUUCCUCAAGGUUUAAACUGCCUCUCUGCUGAAGUGAGAGCCCCAGAGAGACUGCCUCACACUCCCUGCGUCC